rnacentral:rRNA from 1 species
CCCCGUCACACCAUGGGAGUCGAUUGCUCCAGAAGUGGCUGCGCCAACCUCGCAAGAGGAGGCAGGCCCCCAAGGAGUGAUUGGUAACUGGGGUG